rnacentral:rRNA from 1 species
CGCGGAUAUGGGCUGGCAUACGUGACCUAGCGGUAGGAUAUUA